rnacentral:lncRNA from 1 species
AAAGAUUUCAAUCUGUCCCUUGAAAAGAGAAGGCUACUGUCCUGUGGAAAUACUGCGCAAAGACGGCCCACAGGCAGGUUUUAGAGAGGAUUACAGGAGAAACAAACGUGAGAGCAGAACACGGUCUUCCUGCGCACAGUUUUGGUGCCUAGAACACAACCCGAGGUCGCGCUCUGCAUGGCUGCUCCUGAACCGUCUUCCUCACCGUCUUCAGCAAGCGUCACCAGUACCGUUUCCUCACCACCACUGUACGAUGCCUGACCUAACCCCAGCCCGAGAAGCCCUCCACAGUCCAGGUCAGGGGCAGCUUCCUUUCACCCGUGGAGGAAUGAAAAGCUGUGAUCCAGACCCCUGGAGAGGGUCCUCACCACCAGACGCCCUUCCCUGGCUGAGAUCCGAUGGAGGGCUGGUCGCUGCCUCGACCUCUGGGUGCUGGCUGCAGCUCGCCUUGAGAGAGCACAGGGGUGGUGGGGAAUCAGGGGGACUUCUCUGUCCCAACGCUUUGUGUUACACUUUGGGUAGAAAGUUUCCUAAGAUGUGUUUACAUUGAGAUUGGCUUAUUGGGCGCUGUACGUGUCACUGGAUUCAUGCAUGGAGGAGCUCAGAGCUGUGUGUGCUGAGAACAGAUGGAGCCUGGUUGGCGGUGGUCACUGGGGUGUGGGCAGAAAGGGGUCUUAUCCCUGGCUCCUUCCCCGCCCCCUGCUUCCUGGCUGCCGUGUAUUGAGUGCUUUUCCCUCUGCCAGCUCCUUCUGCCAUCCUGUUUCUCCCUGGAGCC